GCCUUCGUGGUGUAGUGGUCAGCACGCUCGACACAUAAUCGAAAGGGCCGUGGUUCAAAUCCCGGCAAGGGCA
rnacentral:tRNA from 1 species